UAACACAUGCAAGUCGAGCGAGAUCUUCGGGUCUAGCGGCGGACGGGUUAGUAACGCGUGGGAACGUGCUUUUCUCUGCGGAAUAGCCACUGGAAACGGUGAGUAAUACCGCAUACGCCCUUCGGGGGAAAGAUUUAUCGGAGAAGGAUCGGCCCGCGUUAGAUUAGAUAGUUGGUGGGGUAAUGGCCUACCAAGUCUACGAUCUAUAGCUGGUUUUAGAGGAUGAUCAGCAACACUGGGACUGAGACACGGCCUAGACUCCUACGGGAGGCAGCAGUGGGGAAUCUUAGACAAUGGGCGCAAGCCUGAUCUAGCCAUGCCGCGUGUGUGAUGAAGGUCUUAGGAUCGUAAAGCACUUUCGCCAGGGAUGAUAAUGACAGUACCUGGUAAAGAAACCCUGGCUAACUCCGUGCCAGCAGCCGCGGUAAUACGGAGGGGGUUAGCGUUGUUCGGAAUUACUGGGCGUAAAGCGUACGUAGGCGGAUCAGAAAGUAAGGGGUGAAAUCCCAGGGCUCAACCCUGGAACUGCCUCUUAAACUCCUGGUCUUGAGUUCGAGAGAGGUGAGUGGAAUUCCAAGUGUAGAGGUGAAAUUCGUAGAUAUUUGGAGGAACACCAGUGGCGAAGGCGGCUCACUGGCUCGAUACUGACGCUGAGGUACGAAAGUGUGGGGAGCAAACAGGAUUAGAUACCCUGGUAGUCCACACCGUAAACGAUGAAUGCCAGUCGUCGGGCAGUAUACUGUUCGGUGACACACCUAACGGAUUAAGCAUUCCGCCUGGGGAGUACGGUCGCAAGAUUAAAACUCAAAGGAUUGACGGGGGCCCGCACAAGCGGUGGAGCAUGUGGUUUAAUUCGAAGCAACGCGUAGAACCUUACCAACCCUUGACAUCCUGUGCUAACCCGAGAGAUCGGGCGUUCACUUCGGUGACGCAGUGACAGGUGCUGCAUGGCUGUCGUCAGCUCGUGUCGUGAGAUGUUCGGUUAAGUCCGGCAACGAGCGCAACCCACAUCUUUAGUUGCCAGCAGUUCGGCUGGGCACUCUAAGGAAACUGCCCGUGAUAAGCGGGAGGAAGGUGUGGAUGACGUCAAGUCCUCAUGGCCCUUACGGGUUGGGCUACGCACGUGCUACAAUGGUAGUGACAAUGGGUUAAUCCCCAAAAGCUGUCUCAGUUCGGAUUGGGGUCUGCAACUCGACCCCAUGAAGUCGGAAUCGCUAGUAAUCGUGGAACAGCAUGCCACGGUGAAUACGUUCCCGGGCCUUGUACACACCGCCCGUCACACCAUGGGAGUUGGUUCUACCCGACGGCCGUGCGCCAACCUUUCGAGGAGGCAGCGGACCACGGUAGGAUCAGCGACUGGGGUG
rnacentral:rRNA from 1 species